UUAACACUUUCUCUCUCCGCCAUGGCCUCUUUCCGUCUCCCACUCUUCACCGCCACCGUCCUCCUCUUCCUCUCCGCCACCGCCACCGCGCGACCGUGCCGUUCCUUCUUCAUGUCCUCUUACACCUUCCGUAACCCUUCCUCCAACACUUUCACCACCAUCACCGAGUUUCGUUCCUUCACCCCUCUCCACCGCAUCACCGCCGACAACGACAACGUCAACGACAAACUCUCCAUCCAAAUCAUCGAUAACGACUUCAUCGAUUCCCUCUUUCAACAACGCCACCACCACCAUCCCUUCCACAACAACAACAACCUCAAAUUUGACCGUAGCGCGUCACUCUCACGCUCUGAAUUAGGGUUCUCC
rnacentral:lncRNA from 1 species